AUUUUAAAUAUACUGAUGCAACUUGGUGUGCACUACGGCAAACAUACAGGUGUUUUUUUAAAAAUUAUUUCCAAAAAACAACAAAACAAAACAAACGGGACCUGGAUUUAAGAUGUAAUUUUUAAAAUUUCUAUUUCUAUUUUUUUCUGCAGCAGUUGGGUUAGAGGAGGAGCCUUUUAGCCUCAUAAACUGACCUCUCUACUUCGUGUAUUUUUAAGAUUAACUGAUGAUGUGGAAAGGGCUUUGCUUGUCUGCUAUUGAGAACAUUACCCUUGCGGUUUUUGUGGAAACUGCUUUUGGAAAAGAAAAGAAUUGAACUUUACUGACUUGACAUUUUUAGACCUCCCGUUUUUCUAAUCUGGGCUAUUUUUAUUUUUGUUUUUUUACAGUGAGAUUUUUUUGAUCUUCAGCUACAGUAAGUUAUUACAAUUUUUUUUUUACAUUUUUCCUGACUUUCGCUGGUUUCCUUUUUAUUGUUGUUACUUACUAGUUAUUAUUAUUACUAUACUUAUAAUGGUGAUGAUGAUGAUGAUAAUGAUGAUUUUUAAACGGAUUAAAGUGGAGUUUUUCUGAAUGUUAAGAUUUCUUCAGCCUCCUGAUUGACUUUGGAGUUUUCCAUCUUGGGAGAGAAAGUGAAGGUGUUAGCAUUUUUAAGUAGCUUGAUCACAUAAACCCUUUCUCUCCCAACCCCACCCUUGCCCCCAACCCCUUCCCCACACUGGAAAUAAUUUUACUGGCUGUUAAGUCUUUGACCUUAUUUUUCCUGAUCUUUAACUUAACUGUUUUAGAGCAUCUCUGGACGUCUGUAUUUUUAAUUUUUUUUUAUUUUUAUUUUUUUUUCUUUUUAAUCUUUCAUUUGUUAGAUUUUUAAACUGUGCUGCAAUAAAAUGUGUGUGGUACUAUUUAACACCUAUAAUGGUGAUGGCAUUUUCCCAAAAAGCCAUCUUCCUACUGUUUCCCUUGAAAUCCCAUCCUGCUUUUCCUGUACACUACCCCUCACAAACCACAAGCCGCAGCAACAUGGAUGCCCAGUCUGGAGCAGCAACAGCCAGGAUGACCUGGAGCCAGGGGGGCCUUCGGAACAGAUGUAUACCCUUCCUGGGUGAUGGUAAGAGGUGUGAGGUCCACUUGGUUUCAUUGCGAAGACUAGGAAAUAGACUCAUUUAAAUUUAGUUAGUUGAUGUAUAGGUAGAGCCCUGGAAAUGAAAGUGCCUCCUUUUAGGCAGUUGUUUCUCAGGUUAUCUUUGAGCUGUUUAGAGUUAUCUUUAGGAUCUGGGUAUAAAGCUUAGUUGACAAGUGCAUAGUUUGCAUAAGGACCCUGUGCUUUGAUUCAUGGUACUCCAUAAACUGGCCUGGUGACACCUAUGAUCCAUGCAGUAGUAGAAGAAGUUCAAGGACUUCCUUGGGUUUUAUAUAGUUUGAGGCCAGCCUGAAAUAUAUGAAUCUUGCUUAUAUGUAACCUUUGUACAGAUUCUGAUUAUAUUUAUUUUAAAGCACAAGUUUUAAGAUAAAUACUUGAAUGCCUAUAACGACAGCACUCCUAAGUUGAAACAGGAGUUUGAGGCUAGUGCCACUCU
rnacentral:lncRNA from 1 species